rnacentral:rRNA from 1 species
GAUGAACGCUGGCGGCGUGCUUAACACAUGCAAGUCGAACGGAAACGCCAUGCUAUCGUGCGGUGCUCGUGUGGCGACCGGGCGCGUAUCACGAACGCAUCCUCAACCUGCCUCUGGCCUAACUUUAAGACAUCGGGGCUAAUCCUGGAACGGUGUUCAUGCUGCAUGGUGGGGGUUGGGACGACUAGGCGGUUCGGGAUGGACUGGUGGCUUUUCAGCUUGUUGGUUAGGUAGUGGCUUACCAGGGCUUUGACGGGUAGCCGGCCUGAGAUGGUGACCGGCAACAGUGGGACUGUGAUACGGCCCAGAGUCCUACGGGAGGCAGCAGUGGGGAAUAGUGCACGAUGGGCGGAAGCCUGAUGCAGCAAGGCCGCGUGCGGGGUGACAGCCUUCGGGUAGGAAGCCGCUUUCGCCUGGAACGGAGCGUGAUUGACGGUAAUGGAUGAAGAAGCACCGGCUAACUACGUG